GCCUUUUUAGUUUAUGAGUAAAAUUUAAUUUUGAAGAGAUUAAGAGUAGGGGGCG
rnacentral:tRNA from 1 species